rnacentral:rRNA from 1 species
UACGUAGGGGGCGAGCGUUGUCCGGAAUUAUUGGGCGUAAAGAGCUCGUAGGCGGUUCGUCGCGUCGAAUGUGAAAACCCGGGGCUCAACUCCGGGCCUGCAUUCGAUACGGGCGGACUAGAGUUCGGUAGGGGAGACUGGAAUUCCUGGUGUAGCGGUGAAAUGCGCAGAUAUCAGGAGGAACACCGGUGGCGAAGGCGGGUCUCUGGGCCGAUACUGACGCUGAGGAGCGAAAGCGUGGGGAGCGAACAGG